CAAUAGCGUAUAUUAAAGUUGUUGCAGUUAGAACGCUCGUAGUCGGAUUUCGGGGCGGGCCGACCGGUCUGCCGAUGGGUAUGCACUGGUCGGCGCGUCCUUCCUUCCGGAGACCGUUCCUACUCUUAACUGAGCGGGGGCGGGAGACGGAUCGUUUACUUUGAAAAAAUCAGAGUGUUUCAAGCAGGCAGCUCGCUCUUGCAUGGAUUAGCAUGGGAUAAUGAAAUAGGACUUUGGUGCUAUUUUGUUGGUUUCGAACACCGAAGUAAUGAUUAAAAGGGACAGUCAGGGGCACUCGUAUUCCGCCGAGAGAGGUGAAAUUCUCAGACCAGCGGAAGACGAACUACUGCGAAAGCAUUUGCCAGGGAUGUUUUCACUGA
rnacentral:rRNA from 1 species